GGGGGAUAACAGUUAGAAAUAGCUGCUAAUACCGCAUAAGCGCACGGUUCCGCAUGGAACAGUGUGAAAAACUCCGGUGGUGUGAGAUGGACCCGCGUCUGAUUAGCCAGUUGGCGGGGUAACGGCCCACCAAAGCGACGAUCAGUAGCCGGCCUGAGAGGGUGAACGGCCACAUUGGGACUGAGACACGGCCCAAACUCCUACGGGAGGCAGCAGUGGGGAAUAUUGCACAAUGGGGGAAACCCUGAUGCAGCGACGCCGCGUGAGUGAAGAAGUAUUUCGGUAUGUAAAGCUCUAUCAGCAGGGAAGAAAGUGAC
rnacentral:rRNA from 1 species